UACGGGGGGAGCAAGCGUUGUUCGGAUUUACUGGGCGUAAAGGGCGCGUAGGCGGCCGCUCAAGUCGGGGGUGAAAUCUUUCAGCUCAACUGGAAAAUAGCCUCCGAUACUGGGCGGCUGGAGGGAGAUAGGGGUGCGCGGAACUUCCGGUGGAGCGGUGAAAUGCGUAGAUAUCGGAAGGAACGCCGGUGGCGAAAGCGGCGCACUGGAUCUCAUCUGACGCUGAGGCGCGAAAGCCAGGGGAGCAAACGGG
rnacentral:rRNA from 1 species